CAGCAGCCGCGGUAAUACGAAGGGGGCUAGCGUUGUUCGGAUUUACUGGGCGUAAAGGGCGCGUAGGCGGACUGAUAAGUCAGGGGUGAAAUCCCAAGGCUCAACCUUGGAACUGCCUUUGAUACUGUUUGUCUUGAGUUCGAGAGAGGUAAGUGGAACUGCGAGUGUAGAGGUGAAAUUCGUAGAUAUUCGCAAGAACACCAGUGGCGAAGGCGGCUUACUGGCUCGAAACUGACGCUGAGGCGCGAAAGCUAGGGGAGCAAACAGGAUUAGAUACCCCAGUAGUCCCUGUCUCUUAUAC
rnacentral:rRNA from 1 species